rnacentral:lncRNA from 1 species
UGGUUAUAUUUUGGCUUCAGAACUAUUGAAUUCAAAGAUAAAAUGAUUGUUUUAUACACUUCUAACUUCUUCCCAUUUUAGGAUUAAGGUAAGAGUUCCAAACAAUACUUAAAACAUGAAUACAUGGUUGUAAUAAAGUGAUUAAGUUUUAAAAAGGUAAUUUGUAAAUUCUUCACAGCAAAUCAGUUUCCUGAGUCCAAAGCAAUCAUUUCACUGUACUAUUUGAUGUGUCUUUUUACUUUGUUUCCUCUUAAAUUCCAACAACCACUUCGUUUCUCACAUGCAUGUUUCUAUAGAUUUCAAUGAGCACCGACGCUGUGAUUCUCAAGAAUAUAGUCUUCAGGAACCAUCUAGUUCCACGAUUUUCCACGAGUCAUAAGCGUAUAAAAACAGUAAACCAAAACUAAGAACAUAGUCAGGUCUUAUUCAAUUUCUUUACCAUUCUCCUUGCAAGACGAAACUGAAUUUUCCAAUUCAGUUUCUAUUCAUAUAUGUUCCUCCAUAUUUUGUUGAUCAUACACUAUCUCUUGAGCCUCCCUUUUUUUCCUCUCAAGAUAACCCAGCCACAAAAUGGUGACUCUCUUCUCUGUUUGCUCUGCAGUUUCUAUCCUCGACCACACAAUGUUAUCUCUCUGGCUCUCUAUACAGUCCUGCGUAUUCGCUUGAGCCUCUCUCACCCUCCUGUGGUUGUUAGUGUUCUCACAAUUUCUAAAGUAUAAACAAAGACAUUUUAUAUAAGAAAAAAAAAAGCAACUUAGUAUUAUAACCGGUAGGAACCAGUAAAACAGAGCUUGCCUAAAUUAGUUUACUCAAGUUCACUACACUCUUAAAGAGUAGCAAGGAUUCCUUGUAUUGCAACACUACAUACUUCAUAGCUGACUCCCUGUAAUAUGUCUUCCAAGAUAUUCAAAUAAGUGAUCUUAUUCCUGGCAAAAUAGACAAAAUUAUAGAGUAGAAAUAAGCUCAUAAAUCAGUUAACUGAUAAACGUCUGUCUGAAUCGUAUAUAAUAAAUAACAAAACAUGCAUGACCCGAGGUUGAUGUUAUGUUUACGGAAGUAACGUGCUACUAUGUGAACAUGCACUUAUACAAUAACGUAAGAACAUUCUCAAUAUGCAAAAGUAAACUUAGCACCAAGCCACCAACUUAUAUGUAUCAUGUCAACAGUUUAUUAAAGCUGGAAAUUAUCAACUACCUAUCGUCAAGCUUUAUUGCUGCCAUGAGGCGUCGAGUGCUCUGGGUGUCUUGGUUUUACAUGGGUUUGAUGCCCCUAAUCUCUCCAACAAUAUCUGAUGACCAAGAUAAACACAUACGCUACUUAUCUGUGAAAUAAUUAAUUAUUAUAUGGUGUGUGGCAAGGAAUUUGUAGCUAUUCAAACCUGGCAAAUGACAUGAGAUUCGUAUUUGCAGAACCUGAAGCUCUCCUCCGGGCUUGGCUCAGCUGUGGCUGUGAAUUCCACGAUAAACUUAAAUCGGAUUGCUUCUUGCAACAUUGAAACCACUUAAUCCAUACACGAAGCCUUCUUGCAAGAUAUGUUGGAAGAGUGAAGACAGUUUGAAGGUUGAUUGACCUCUAGAUGAUUGUGGCCAGCGAGUCUGCAACAGGAGUAUAUUAAACAAAUUACAACAAACACCAAAUAUCAAAUCUAUUAAUCCUCUAUAACAGAAAGUAAGUAUUCAAGUUACCUUUGCAUCAUAUUAUAUCAGCAAACAAAGACAGAAUCAAUUAACAAAACCAAACCACUUAAACUCUAGAUUCUAAAUCAAUAAACAAAGCCUAAAUCAUCUUACAUCAGCAAAGGUAAAUAAAACCAGUAAAACUAAAAAAAAAAAUAUAGACGCAAGAUUUCCAAAUCAAUAUACAAAACCAAAAUCAUCUAAACCUGGAUUUCAAGAUAUUUGAAUAUAAUGAUUUUUUUAUCACCUUUGCAUCAAGGAGGAGCAUAUCAACGCCCUUGAGUUCACCACCUUGCCUUUCUGAAAUAGGAACAGAUAUAAAGUAUUGAGCUUUACCUUUUGGGUUGGCUAUAUAUAUAUAUAUAUUCAUGAGUGCAAUGAAGUGGAUAAGCUAAAACGAUACCUCUACUGGAGAAGAGUAAAUGAUGGCCGUGGUGGAUGAUAUUAUUAAACUACAAACUAAAUCUAGCUGAUAUCAGCCUUGAUGAAAUGAUCUUAAUACCAUUUUUCAAAUCGAGGUGCAAACUAAAAAAAGAAGUAAAGACAGACCUGACUCCAAGGAUGAGAGCAGCUUCACGCCUGUGUCAUGGCAGCUUGGAAACCACCUUCAUAAAACUUGCGCAUUCUAGGCACGAUGGGCCUGGCCUUGAAGGCUUGCCAAGAGUGUAUACCAUAUCUACCAGCUAUAGCAGCAGCAGCUACUGCAGCACCUGCAACCAUUGGCGUAGCCUGUGUGUAACCAAAAAAUAAACGUCAGAUAACAAAAUUAAAAAAAAAGGAACCCACAGAUUCAAAGAUUAAUCUCUCUCUCUCUCUCUCUGUUAUAACCACAGAAGAGGUGACAGAUAGGGAGGUUUCAUUAUUGUUACAAAGAUUGAAAGAGUUGUAACGGAGACAUCAAAUGGCAGAACCUGAUAGACUUCAACCCUUCCUGUGAUGGGGUUUCCUGCUCUUCUUCUCAUUACCUCUUAGAAGAACCCCUCCCAACGCGUGAAUCUUCAUCAUCGCCUGAGACAUCAGAGUCGGAAGAAGCUGCCACUUUGUUCCUACGCUUCUGCCUUCUACCACUUGCAUCAUCCUCAGACGAAUCAGAAUCAUCAGACCGGUUACGCCUGCUCCUCCUUUCUCCUCUUCUCCUUCCUACUCUUUCUCUUAACACUUCUCCGAUCUUCAUCAUAAGACUCAUCAGAAUCAUCAUCAUCUCUCUUUCUCCCUCUCCUCUCCUUCCUUCUCUUACUCCUACCAUCUUCCUCCUCCUCCUCAGACUCACUCACACUCCUCCUCUUAUGCGUCCUCCGCUUCUUCGACCUCCUCCUCCUCUUCCUAUCUCCAGAAUCAGACUCAGACUCAGACUCAUCCCGCUUCUUCUUCUUCUUCUUAACACUACUACUACUGCCACUCCCCUUCUUCUUCUUCCCAUACCUCUCAGCAAUAAUCUUCUCAAUCUCAGAAUCAACAUCAGAAUCCUCACUCUCACUCUCCUCCUCCUCCUCCUCACUACUCUCCUCCUCCUCAACCUCACCUCUCCCCACGCACCUCCUAACCUUCUCCAAGACCCGCGAGCCUCAUCAUUAUUCGACCCAGUGAUGUGCGCUAGAGCCAAAAGACCCUGGAAGCUCGCGUAAGAAUUCUCAGGGUCAUCAGACUUCUGCUGAGUCGUCUUCGGCUCUUCCUUGGCCGUCGGCGCGUAGGGAUCGUACCCGAUCGCGCUCUGCCAUAUGCCGUGAGUCUGAAGCGCCGCGCUGCUGUGAACACGGUUGUUCGCAGGCAUGCGAACUCUUCCCGCGGUGGCCGGCAUCUUUCACGAAACCCUAAAGAAUCUCACAACCAGAUCAGAUCGGAAGGAAUCGCAGGAGAGAGAGACGGAGCUUUGGUUCUUUCCUCUCUUAUCGUCUGAUUGAGAAUAAGAGAGGCGAAAAAGAAUUUGCAGGGAUUUGUAACGAUGAAAACAAAGUGAAGAAUUGGAGACGACAUAUUACUUUGGUUUAAAAGCAACUCCGAAGCAGGCUGACCCAUCAAACCGAAAAGCCCAUUUUUUUCUUUGGACAAAUGCGGUAAUGACAUGGCAGAACAUAACUUUUUCAUUGGUUGAUAAUUUUUUUUGACGUGGAGGGCCUCUCCAUUGAGGAUAUUUGGCUUUUAGUAGUGUUAGAUCAGUCAGGUCUUAUUCAAUUUCUUUACCAUUCUCCUUGCAAGACGAAACUGAAUUUUCCAAUUCAGUUUCUAUUCAUAUAUGUUCCUCCAUAUUUUGUUGAUCAUACACUAUCUCUUGAGCCUCCCUUUUU